AACGAACGCUGGCGGCGCGCUUAACACAUGCAAGUCGAACGAGAAGGCGUAGCAAUACGCUGGUACAGUGGCGAACGGGUGAGGAAUACAUGGGUAACCUACCCUCGAGUGGGGGAUAACCCGCCGAAAGGCGGGCUAAUACCGCGUACGCUUCCGAUCUUGCGGGAUCGGAAGGAAAGCUGUCCCAAGGGGAUGGCGCUCAAGGAUGGGCUCAUGUCCUAUCAGCUUGUUGGAGGGUAACGGCCUACCAAGGCAUCGACGGGUAGCUGGUCUGAGAGGACGAUCAGCCACACUGGCACUGCGACACGGGCCAGACUCCUACGGGAGGCAGCAGUGAGGAAUAUUGCGCAAUGGGCGAAAGCCUGACGCAGCGACGCCGCGUGGGGGAGUGAAGGUCUUCGGAUUGUAAACCCC
rnacentral:rRNA from 1 species